rnacentral:tmRNA from 1 species
GGGGGUGCACCGGUUUCGACCCGUGCGGUCCGUGUCGUGCGUUGCAGGUGGAGACGCCGAGCUCCUGAUUUCGGCAAACCUUUAAUUGCCAACAACAACGGCAAUCUCGCUCUCGCUGCGUAAGUAGCGUCAGAACGACGGACCACCCGGGGCGCCGCCUCGAGCGCCGGAAUGGUCUGUAACUAACCGAGGCUCACAUCCCGCGCAGUCCGGGGCGCGGGGCGGACAUCAUACCGGAAUACGGGCCAGGAGAGCGCGCCGCCCCGCGCCCCCGGCCCCGACACCCCAAUAGGACGGACAAACCUGUAGAGGCGUGCGAUGCGCGUUCGGGGACGGGGGUUCGACUCCCCCCACCUCCA